GGACAUGUGGUUUAUUCGAUGCUACGCGAGGAACCUUACCCGGGCUUGACAUGCAGAUGAAUUACGGUGAAAGCCGUNUNCCUUCGGGCAUCUGUGAAGGUGCUGCAUGGUUGUCGUCAGCUCCUGCCGUGAGGUGUUGNCUUANGUGCCNUAACGAGGGCAACCCNUGUUGUCAGUUACUAACAGGUUCCGCUGAGGACUCUGACAAGACUGCCAUCGUAAGAUCUGAGGAAGGUGGGGAUGACGUCAAAUCAGCACGGCCCNUACGUCCGGGGGUACACACGUGUUACAAUGGGGGGUACAGAGGGGCGCUACCACGCGAGUGGGUGCNAAUCCCAAAA
rnacentral:rRNA from 1 species